rnacentral:rRNA from 1 species
UACGUAGGUGGCAAGCGUUGUCCGGAAUUAUUGGGCGUAAAGGGCGUGUAGGCGGCCUUUUAAGUCAGACGUGAAAACCCUGGGCUUAACCCAGGAACUGCGUUUGAAACUGGAGGGCUUGAGGACCGGAGAGGGUAGUGGAAUUCCCAGUGUAGCGGUGAAAUGCGUAGAUAUUGGGAGGAACACCAGUGGCGAAGGCGACUGCCUGGACGGCACCUGACGCUGAGGCGCGAAAGCCAGGGGAGCAAACGGG